rnacentral:rRNA from 1 species
UGGGGAAUUUUGGACAAUGGGGGCAACCCUGAUCCAGCAAUGCCGCGUGAGUGAAGAAGGCCUUCGGGCUGUAAAGCUCUUUUGUCAGGGAAGAAACACCGGCUCUAACACAGUCCGGGAAUGACGGUACCUGAAGAAUAAGCACCGACUAACUACGUGCCAGCAGUCGCGGUAAUACGUAGGGUGCAAGCGUUGUUCGGAAUUACUGGGCGUAAAGGAUGCGUAGGCGGUUUUGUAAGUUAGAUGUGUAAUCCCCGGGCUUAACUCGGGAACUGCGUCUAAGACUGCAAGACUAGAGUAUGGUAGAGGAUAGUGGAAUUCUUAGUGUAGGGGUAAAAUCCGUAGAUAUUAAGAGGAACACCAGAAGCGAAGGCGACUAUCUGGGCCAUUACUGACGCUGAGGCAUGAAAGCGUGGGGAGCAAACAGG